CUGAAAGUGAGGAUGGUGUACAAAGAGUUUUUCACCUGGAAGAUCAUCCUGUCCGCUUCUCAUAGGUGGGCAGACAGUAUCGCCAUCCAGUCGGUUAAAGUCCAGUUCUGAUAGGACAGAAGAGUCCCUUUGGUGGCAGCCAUUUGAAGUCACCCCAGUCAACAACCUGAGUCAGCCAGAGACGCAUCUGGAAGCCCUUCACCGAGCCCACAUAAACGCUGAGACAUGAAACCGAGCGAUAAGUGUGAAUGGACGUGUGAGUGAAAUGCCAAGGGAGAUGACUGAUGGCCUUGUCAGCAGCGAGGUCUUUGCAGGGCCAGACGUUGGCCUCCGAGAAGAUCUUUGAACCCCCUCAGGGUCUCUUUUUACCUCAGUCCAUCUCGAAGACCACAUGACUUGCACACUCAUGCACCUGAGGAUGUAACGAGCUCCGCCCUUGAGCUGGAGUCCAGCUGGAUCUUUCCUGUAAAUGUCAACGUCACAAUAGGUCGGCGCACGCGUAAACUCCGAAGGUUACGCGGUCACAUCUCCGAGUUGAACUGCAUCAAGGUCAGUAGGCUCUGAUGGAAUGUGCCAAUGCAUUUGUCGGAUGUGCGGCUCUUCUGACUGAGUAGAACGUUAGCGCCGUGCUAUGUUUAAUCUUGCUUCAU